rnacentral:rRNA from 1 species
GACGAACGCUGGCGGCGUGCUUAACACAUGCAAGUCGAACGGAAAGGCCCUGCUUUUGUGGGGUGCUCGAGUGGCGAACGGGUGAGUAACACGUGAGUAACCUGCCCUUGACUUUGGGAUAACUUCAGGAAACUGGGGCUAAUACCGGAUAGGAGCUCCUGCUGCAUGGUGGGGGUUGGAAAGUUUCGGCGGUUGGGGAUGGACUCGCGGCUUAUCAGCUUGUUGGUGGGGUAGUGGCUUACCAAGGCUUUGACGGGUAGCCGGCCUGCGAGGGUGACCGGCCACAUUGGGACUGAGAUACGGCCCAGACUCCUACGGGAGGCAGCAGUGGGGAAUAUUGCUCAAUGGGCGGAAGCCUGAUGCAGCAACGCCGCGUGCGGGAUGACGGCCUUCGGGUUGUAAACCGCUUUCGCCUGUGACGAAGCGUGAGUGACGGUAAUGGGUAAAGAAGCACCGGCUAACUACGUG